CCUACGGGUGGCAGCAGUGGGGAAUAUUGCACAAUGGGGGAAACCCUGAUGCAGCGACGCCGCGUGAGUGAAGAAGUAAUUCGUUAUGUAAAGCUCUAUCAGCAGGGAAGAAAAUGACGGUACCUGAGUAAGAAGCCCCGGCUAACUACGUGACAGCAGCCGCGGUCAUACGUAGGGGGCACGCGUUAUCCGGAUUUAUUGGGUUAAAAGGUUGCGUAGGCGGAUUUUUAAGUCAGCGGUAAAAUGUCCGGGCUCAACCCGGGGCGGCCGUUGAUACUGGGGAGCUUGAGUGGGCGAGAAGGAUGCAGAAUGCGAGGUGUAGCGGUGAAAUGCAUAGAUAUCACGCAGAACUCCGAUUGCGAAGGCAGCAUACCGGCGCCCGACUGACGCUGAGGCACGAAAGCGUGGGGAGCGAACAGGAUUAGAUACCCUGGUAGUC
rnacentral:rRNA from 1 species